GCAGUCGAGCGGAGAGGGGAGCUUGCUCCUUGAUUCAGCGGCGGACGGGUGACUAUAGCCUAGGAAUCUGCCUGGUAGUGGGGGAUAACGUUCCGAAUGGAACGCUAAUACCGCAUACGUCCUACGGGAGAAAGCAGGGGACCUUCGGGCCUUGCGCUAUCAGAUGAGCCUAGGUCGGAUUAGCUAGUUGGUGAGGUAAUGGCUCACCAAGGCGACGAUCCGUAACUGGUCUGAGAGGAUGAUCAGUCACACUGGAACUGAGACACGGUCCAGACUCCUACGGGAGGCAGCAGUGGGGAAUAUUGGACAAUGGGCGAAAGCCUGAUCCAGCCAUGCCGCGUGUGUGAAGAAGGUCUUCGGAUUGUAAAGCACUUUAAGUUGGGAGGAAGGGCAGUAAGUUAAUACCUUGCUGUUUUGACGUUACCAACAGAAUAAGCACCGGCUAACUUCGUGCCAGCAGCCGCGGUAAUACGAAGGGUGCAAGCGUUAAUCGGAAUUACUGGGCGUAAAGCGCGCGUAGGUGGUUUUGUAAGUUGGAGGUGAAAUCCCCGGGCUCAACCUGGGAACUGCCUCCAAAACUGCAUGACUAGAGUACGGUAGAGGGUAGUGGAAUUUCCUGUGUAGCGGUGAAAUGCGUAGAUAUAGGAAGGAACACCAGUGGCGAAGGCGACUACCUGGACUGAUACUGACACUGAGGUGCGAAAGCGUGGGGAGCAAACAGGAUUAGAUACCCUGGUAGUCCACGCCGUANACGAUGUCAACUAGCCGUUGGGUACCUUGAGUACUUAGUGGCGCAGCUAACGCAUUAAGUUGACCG
rnacentral:rRNA from 1 species